rnacentral:rRNA from 1 species
UGGGGAAUAUUGGACAAUGGGCGCAAGCCUGAUCCAGCCAUGCCGCGUGAGUGAUGAAGGCCCUAGGGUUGUAAAGCUCUUUCACCGGUGAAGAAAAUGACGGUAACCGGAGAAGAAGCCCCGGCUAACUUCGUGCCAGCAGCCGCGGUAAUACGAAGGGGGCUAGCGUUGUUCGGAUUUACUGGGCGUAAAGCGCACGUAGGCGGACUAUUAAGUCAGGGGUGAAAUCCCGGGGCUCAACCCCGGAACUGCCUUUGAUACUGGUAGUCUUGAGUUCGAGAGAGGUGAGUGGAAUUCCGAGUGUAGAGGUGAAAUUCGUAGAUAUUCGGAGGAACACCAGUGGCGAAGGCGGCUCACUGGCUCGAUACUGACGCUGAGGUGCGAAAGCGUGGGGAGCAAACAGG